rnacentral:lncRNA from 1 species
AAUAAAUAUUUUAUUAAAACUUUUAAUUUAAUUUGCUAAACACAUUUAGGACUGGUUUGGUUCAUAUAUUUUUGACUUUGGAAUCAGAAUGGAAUUAAGUAAUUUCAACAGUUUUUGUUUGUUUUAUGACAGGAAUUAAAUUUUGAUUCUCAUUCAACUCGGAAAUGAAAUAAUCUAAUCUAUUUAUGACCCAAUCCAGUUUAAAUUCUAGGGAUAAUUGCCUAUAUACUCCUCAUAUGUUUGAAAAUAUCCGAUUUACCCCUACCUUUUUUUUUUUCUUUCUAAAAUACCCCUCAUAUAUUCCACCGUUAUUGCAAAAUACUCCCGCAGUUAUCUCCUUUUAAGUUAAUCUGGGUUAAACGUGAGUUAAAUAUCUACCACAGUUAAAAAAUUAAAAUGCCAAUUUUGCCCUUAACUUAAGGGUAAAUAAGAAAGGUUGGUGACAGUAGAGGGGUAUAUUGGAAAAGACCAAAAGUCAAAACACUUUUUGUGCCCUGAUUAUAAGGGCAAAUAAGAAAGACAAUGAUGGUAGAAAGGUAUAUUUGAAAGGGCAAAAUAGUAAUUUUAUAGAGAUAAUAAAAUUACUUAACAGAUUUUAACUCUAAGGGUAUAUUAGAAAUAUGUUAGAACGUAGGAAGGAUAUUUUUAAUAUUAGCCUUCUAAGAAGGAUAAAUCGAAAAGUCGGAAACUUUUCAGGGAUAUAUAAGCAAUUGCCCCUAAAUUCUAAAUUGAUCCAAUCCCAAGUAAAUCGUUGAAAAUCCUCUCUAACAAACACUUUGCCCUUCCUUUCCUUCAUCUCCAUCCUUUUCCACAAUCAAAUCUCUCUCUAUAAUUUCGAUUCCAAUAAUAAACCAAGCUUUUU